rnacentral:rRNA from 1 species
AGAGUUUGAUCCUGGCUCAGAUUGAACGCUGGCGGCAUGGCUAAAACAUGCAAGUCCGGGAUAACCCUUCGGGGUGAAACCGGCGGAAGGGCGAGGAAUACAUUCGAACGUACCCCAAGGUGGGGGAUAGCCGCGGGAAACUGCGGGUAAUACCCCAUGUGCUCUACGGAGGAAAGCUUCGGCGCCUCGGGAGCGGCGAAUGUCCUAUCAGCUAGUUGGCGGGGUAACGGCCCACCAAGGCGUAGACGGGUAGCGGGUGUGAGAGCACGGCCCGCCGCAUCGGGACUGAGACACUGCCCGGACUCCUACGGGAGGCUGCAGUAACGAAUAUUCCGCAAUGCGCGAAAGCGUGACGGAGCAAUGCCGCGUGCAGGAUGAAGCGGUUUCGCCGUGUAAACUGCUGUCAGGGAGCAGAAAUACUGAUCGCUCCCAAAGGAAGGGCCGGCUAAUCCUGUGCCAGCAGCCGCGGUAAUACAGGAGGCCCGAGCGUUAGUCGGAAUCACUGGGCUUAAAGGGUGCGUAGGCGGGCCUGUAAGUAUCUCGUGAAAUACCUCGGCUCAACCGAGGAAUGGCGGGGUAAACUACAGGUCUUGAGGUAGGUAGGGGUUGCUGGAACGCUCGGUGGAGCGGUGAAAUGCGUAGAGAUCGAGCGGAACGCCGAAGGUGAAGACAAGCAACUGGGCCUAUCCUGACGCUGAGGCACGAAAGCGUGGGGAGCAAACAGGAUUAGAUACCCUGGUAGUCCACGCUGUAAACGAUGCGCACUAGACCGAUGCAGGUCUGACCCUGUGUUGGUCGGAGAGAAAUUGUUAAGUGCGCCGCCUGGGAAGUACGGUCGCAAGGCUAAAACUCAAAGGAAUUGACGGGGGCUCACACAAGCGGUGGAGCAUGUUGCUUAAUUCGAACCAACGCGAAGAACCUUACCUGGGUUUGACAUGCAUGGAUUAGUUCCUGGAAACAGGAAUGACACUCGCAAGAGUGGAACAUGCACAGGUGCUGCAUGGCUGUCGUCAGCUCGUGCUGUGAAGCGUCGGGUUAAGUCCCUUAACGAGCGCAACCCCUGUCGUUAGUUGCUAACGGGUAAUGCCGAGGACUCUAACGAGACUGCCGGUGUCAAACCGGAGGAAGGUGGGGAUGACGUCAAGUCCUCAUGGCCCUUACAUCCAGGGUUGCAAACGUGCUACAAUGGCGUGAACAAAGCGACGCGAGGCCGCGAGGCGGAGCAAAUCGCAAAAAACACGCCCCAGUUCAGAUUGGAGUCUGCAACCCGACUCCAUGAAGCCGGAAUCGCUAGUAAUCGCGGAUCAGCCACGCCGCGGUGAAUAAGUUCCUGAGCCUUGUACACACCGCCCGUCAAGUCAUGGGAGCCGGGAGUGCCCGAAGUCGCCACGUUCCAGUGGUGCCCACGGCAAGCUCGGUGACUGGGACUAAGUCGUAACAAGGUA